CGGAGUGGGAGGUGAGGUGGGAGGUGGAAAUGAUGAGCUGAUGCCUUUCUCCUCCUCCUCCUUUCAUUCACACUGUCCUCCCUUCUGGCUGAGCCAUCCUCC